CUCGUAGGCGGUUGCGUAAGUCGGACGUGAAAACUCAGGGCUCAACCCUGAGAUGCCGUUCGAUACUGCGCUGACUGGAGUCCGGUAGGGGAGCAUGGAAUUCCUGGUGUAGCGGUGAAAUGCGCAGAUAUCAGGAGGAACACCAGUAGCGAAGGCGGUGCUCUGGGCCGGUACUGACGCUGAGGAGCGAAAGCAUGGGUAGCAAACA
rnacentral:rRNA from 1 species